GGGACCAAAGGGGAGAAAGUGUGGAUGAACAAAGCUUCGUGAUUAAUCCAGUUCUACGCAAAAGGCGCAGGUUCAUU